AGGUGCAUCACCUACUUUAACUUAUUGACAAGCCAAAAGCAGCAAGUAGGUGCAUGACCUACUUGGACUCUUUGACCAGCUAAGAGGGUCAAGUAGACCAUCAACUACUUAUCUAUUUGUGGCCCAAAAUAAAGAGAAAAAGAGAGGUUGUAAAGGCUGAUUUAAGCCUAAGAAAUGGCUGAUUUUCUCUCAUUAUUUACAUCCAUAUUUCUAUUAGUUCUCUCAAGAUUUAUCUCUUUUCCUCACAACUUCAAACAACUACCUCAAUUCCUCCUAGGGUUAAUGAAAACACCCUCCCUUUCCAAGACAAGGUAUGCCCUUUCUACAAGCUGGAUGCCCCAUGUUUCUUGGUUAUUACCAUACUUUGUCACUUUUUCUUUAGGUUAAGAUUAAAGGAUAAUUCAAGUCCUUGAAGGACAGCAAGUCAAGGGAUAAAUUUCCUGAAAGUUAGGUACAUGCAUUGAGGGUUCAAGUGGCUCAGCAAACUUCCUUCUCAAGUUUUCAACUAUAGUCAGUGAGCCCCAAUAAUAUUGGAGGCCUUGUCUUGUGUAUACGAUUUACAUAGAUAGUAAGUUACAUCUAGGCCUUGUCUCGACAUAUUUACAAAUCAUGUCAUAUGUUAGAGGGUUCAUAAAGUAUGUACAAAUCAUAUUCAUAUAUUUAGAUUUAUGUCUCCCGUACUACCAUGUAGGUCCAUUAAGAUAACAUUUUCACCGAUGACUUUUAUAUGUAUAAAGAAAUAAAAUAGCUUCAUUCUA